CCUCUGGCCUCAGUCUCCCAAAGUGCUGGGAUUACAGGCAUGAGCCACCACACCCAGCCAAGACUAAGUUCUUGAAAGCACCACUGAGCCACUAUCUCAAACCAGGAGCUUUUAAUUUCCAAACUUCCUAACAGGGAGGUAAAUUACUUUUCUGUAUUGCUUGUGUCAGUGUAGUUGGGUAUUCUACUGCUUCCAGUUGAAAGCAUCCUAAUUCAGAUCUCACUAAGGACAACUCUUCAGGGAACAGUUCUCUGAACAUCUGCUAAUUGUCACAUUCUAUAAAAACUGAACAUCAGAAUUAUUUUGCUCUACCAAUAAUUUUCUUUCUAAAGUUUGAGCAAACUAUGAGAGGAAUUCCUCCAUAAACUCAAUUUGACUGUUCAGGGUGACCUGUUAGGUGAACAAGAUGGUGUAGUGGAAAUCUGGUUGUCUAUUCAAUAUCCAUUUACCUCUUCCUCAAUUGUGACGGAAUUUGUUUUGUCCAGAUAUCAAACCUGCACAUGGAUCUAAGCAGGGGUGGGAUGAAGGGGGCGGAUCUUGUGUAAGCCAAUCAGCAUAAGGUAUUCUGUUGAUAACUAUUACUGGUCCAUAAAAAUACAUAUAACCUAAUUUGGCUCAAUCAGACCUUUAAAAAGGGGACUAAGAGUCCAUGCCCAGGGAAUGGUUUCUCUCUCUUCCGCUGGACUUUAACAAGCAAGCACAUGACGGGCUUCAUCAGUCCUGGACGAGAAAGCUGAGAUGAAAAUAACUUGAGUCUUGGAUGAAAUCAGUGACCCUAUGAUAUCAUCACAUCUAGAGCUGACUCUAACUGGACUUCCAGCUAUUUCCAGGACAUAUUCAAGCAGAGUUUGGAUAACCACCUGCCAAAGAUCUGUAUUGGGUGGGAAGUUGGUUCAUACCUGUCUUAAUUGUCCAAGAUUCUAUUCUUCACCUAGAUUAUCUCUGUAAAUCAUGAAGUGCUUACUAAAAGUAUUAUAUCCAAAUGAAUAUUCAAGUAAAAAUAUAAACAAUAAAAUAAUAGAGAAUGCUAAUAACAGUGCUAAAUACUGUGUAUACAUCAUUUUUAAUUAGUACUGACAAUCUCGUAAGUUAGGUAUUACUUCUAUACCUUUUUUUUUUUUUCAGCUGA
rnacentral:lncRNA from 1 species